rnacentral:misc_RNA from 1 species
UAAGUUAUUGCCAGGGUUUUUGUUUUAUACUUUAAACAUUGAUUUUAUUUUUUAUAUUAUUUGAAUAAAACAUUCAAAAACAUAAAAAAUAAAAUAUAUAUUGACAUGGAUUAAACAAAGAUAUAUAUUAUUCUAUGUUGUAUAAACAAAUUGGCAAAAUAGAGAUGGAAGAUAAAAAUAUGGCCAAAGAAAG